ensembl:lncRNA
CAUAAUUUUGUGCAUCAAAAUCGCCCAAAUUCCCUUGUAUUUUGCCCUGCAAGGCUGUAUUUCUUUCUAAUAAACACAACAACGAUGCAAUGAUGAACAAGCAUUCAUUAAAAAACUAAGAAAAUGUCACGUCUGUGCUGAACUCCGCUCUGGCCACGCCCCCCUGUCCAACGGCCUGUAAAAUUAAUUCGCUCAUCUUCCCAAUCGCCUGCAAAUAAUGUUUUUUUUAGUCUUCUGUUCUGUUGAUGGCUGGCAAACAACAACAUUAGAAGAAUAAAAUCUCCACGGGGUGAACAUCUGCAGGUAAAUGAUAGAACAUGUGUUUCCAACCUUUUCAGGAGCAACGGUACUGUCAUGGUCAUCAAACUUUAAUCAGAG